UUUUCCUCUUUUAUGCAUGUUUUAUUGUCUAUUGCUUUAAAAUUGACAUUAGCUUUUCAUGUUUAGGGUCCCCAUUAAAAUUGACAGUAGCUCCGGCACCGCUUCUCGCCGUUGAGCUCGGCACCGCUUGUCGGGACUUGAGUUCGUCGUCGAAUCCGGGCCGUCCAACACUGCUUCUGUUGACAUUUCGGGUUUUAUCAUUUCUAACUCUCUUAUAUUUUAAUUUGUU
rnacentral:lncRNA from 1 species